UACAGAGGGGGCAAGCGUUGUUCGGAAUUACUGGGCGUAAAGGGCGCGUAGGCGGCCUGUUAAGUCGAACGUGAAAUCCCUGGGCUCAACCCAGGAACUGCGUCCGAUACUGGCAGGCUUGAAUCCGGGAGAGGUGAGUGGAACUGCGGGUGUAGAGGUGAAAUUCGUAGAUAUUCGCAAGAACACCAGUGGCGAAGGCGGCUCACUGGCCCGGUACUGACGCUGAGGUGCGAAAGCGUGGGGAGCAAACAGG
rnacentral:rRNA from 1 species